UUAUUUUGUAAAUGUGUCAUAAGUAUAUAAGAUUUAUUACAAGAAACAUAAUCAAAAUAAAGCUGUUCAGUCGUAUUCAUAGAUUUGGAAGCAAUAUGUCUAAGUUUACGGUAAUUUUGGCUCUCAUUGCGUUGAUCGCAUUAGUGUCAGCGCGUCCACAAGUGGAUGUUGUUGACCAAGACCCUGGAUCAGUGGACGUUGUUGACCAAGACCCAGGCUCAGUUAACGUUAUCGGUGGAGGUGAACAAGUAAACAUCGUCGACAAUGAUAACCAAGGUUUAGCACGGUCCUCGUAGAAGACAGUAAAAUUUAAUCUAUAAUUAAUAUUUUUUAAUAUUAUAUUCUAUGUAAUUACAAUAUAUUUUCAUGUAUAUAUUCUA